GUAGUCCUGGCUGUAAACGAUGUCGACUUGGAGGUUGUGCCCUUGAGGCGUGGCUUCCGGAGCUAACGCGUUAAGUCGACCGCCUGGGGAGUACGGCCGCAAGGUUAAAACUCAAAUGAAUUGACGGGGGCCCGCACAAGCGGUGGAGCAUGUGGUUUAAUUCGAUGCAACGCGAAGAACCUUACCUGGUCUUGACAUCCACGGAAGUUUUCAGAGAUGAGAAUGUGCCUUCGGGAACCGUGAGACAGGUGCUGCAUGGCUGUCGUCGGCUCGUGUUGUGAAAUGUUGGGUUAAGUCCCGCAACGAGCGCAACCCUUAUCCUUUGUUGCCAGCGGUCCGGCCGGGAACUCAAAGGAGACUGCCAGUGAUAAACUGGAGGAAGGUGGGGAUGACGUCAAGUCAUCAUGGCCCUUACGACCAGGGCUACACACGUGCUACAAUGGCGCAUACAAAGAGAAGCGACCUCGCGAGAGCAAGCGGACCUCAUAAAGUGCGUCGUAGUCCGGAUUGGAGUCUGCAACUCGACUCCAUGAAGUCGGAAUCGCUAGUAAUCGUGGAUCAGAAUGCCACGGUGAAUACGUUCCCGGGCCUUGUACACACCGCCCGUCACACCAUGGGAGUGGGUUGCAAAAGAAGUAGGUAGCUUAACCUUCGGGAGGGCGCUUACCACUUUGUGAUUCAUGACUGGGGUGAAGUCGUAACAAGGUAACCGUAGGGGAACCUGCGGCUGGAUCACCUCC
rnacentral:rRNA from 1 species